UACGUAGGGGGCUAGCGUUGUCCGGAAUCAUUGGGCGUAAAGCGCGUGUAGGCGGUCCGGUAAGUCCGCUGUGAAAGUCGGGGGCUCAACCCUCGGAUGCCGGUGGAUACUGUCGGGCUUGAGUACGGAAGAGGCGAGUGGAAUUCCUGGUGUAGCGGUGAAAUGCGCAGAUAUCGGGAGGAACACCAAUUGCGAAGGCAGCUCGCUGGGACGUCACUGACGCUGAGACGCGAAAGCGUGGGGAGCAAACAGG
rnacentral:rRNA from 1 species